AGCGGAGGAAAAGAAACUAACCAGGAUUCCCUCAGUAGCGGCGAGCGAAGAGGGAAAAGCCCAGCACCGAAUUCCCUGAUUCCCCUAGUAGCGGCGAGCGAAAAGGGAGGAGCCCAGCGCCGAAUCCCACGUCGCCUCCCGGCGUCGGGAAAUGUGGUGUUUGAGAGCGUCCUUUAACUCGUGGCGACGCGGUCGAGUUCAAGUCCGACCGUGGAACGAGGCCAUUAACCCACAGAGGGUGACAGGCCCGUAGAGACCGCCGCAAGUCACGAGCGAGGUCGUCUCUUUAGAGUCGGGUUGCUUGAGAGUGCAACCUCAAGUGGGUGGUAUACUCCAUCUAAGGCUAAAUACGACCAGAAGACCGAUAGCGAACAAGUACCGUGAGGGAAAGAUGAAAAGCACUUUGGAAAGAGAGUUAAAAGUACGUGAAAUUGUCGAAAGGGAAGCACUUGAAGUCAGCCAUGCUGCUUGAGACUCAGCCUGGCUUUUGCUUGGUGUAUUUCUCGGUAGCAAGCCAGCAUUGGUUUGUGUCGUCGGAGAAGCGUAUGGGGAAUGUGGCAUCCUCGGAUGUGUUAUAGCCCUGUGCAGGAUACGACGACGUAGACCAAGGAACGCAGUGUGCCCUCUGGGCGGGUCUUCGGACACCUUCACACUUAGGAUGCUGGCGUAAUGGCUUUAAGUGCUUGGGGGCGAAGGGGGCUACCGGUUUGGCCGUGAGCUUUACAGCGCUCCUGCUCCGUACUCCGCCGCUUUCCCGGGCGAGGACUUAAUUACCCGCUGCGUCAUGCCCCCUGCGGGGGGGCACGGGCCCCCUUCCCCCGGCGCGAGACUGUCAACGGGUCGGACUGCCCUCAGUGCGCACCCAACCGCGGUGGCGUCGCCAGGGUAGAAGAUAUCGGCUCACGUAAACUUAGAGAUCGGCUCACGUAAACUGUCCCAGGGGUCAGCUGCGAUGUCGGCACCCACCCGACCCGUCUUGUAACACGGACCAAGGAGUCUAACGCACGCGCAAGUCAGAGGGUUUUCUCCGAACCACCCCCCUGGCGCAAUGAAAGUGAGAGCCGGCGGGGCGGCUGAGGUGGGAUCCCGGCCCUACGGGUCGGGGAUCCCGGCCCUACGGGGUCGGAGGCACCCCCGCCCGUUCGCCCGGCUCUGUCGGGGGGGUGUAGCGUGAGCGCGUGCGAUAGAACGAAAGAUGGUGAACUAUGCCUGGGCAGGGCGAAGCCAGAGGAAACCUCUGGUGGAGGUCCGUAGCGGUCCUGACGGGAAAUCGGUUCGCCGACCUGGGUAUAGGGGCGAAAGACUAAUCAAACCAAUCUAGUAGCUGGUUUCCUUCUAAGUUUCCCUGGUUCCCUCCGAAGUUUCCCUAAGGAAUAGCUGGCGCCGAAUGUCUCGCAGUUUUAUCCGGGUAAAGGCGAAUGAUUAGAGGCCUUGGGGCCGAAACGAUCUCAACCUAUUCUCAACUUUAAAUGGGUAGAAGCCCGGCUCGCUGGCUUUCCGAAGUUUCCCUCAGGAUAGCUGACGGGCUAUUAAAAACGAAUGUGUUUCAUCCGGUAAAGCGAAUGAUUAGCGGCCUUGGGGUCGAAAUGAUUUCAACCGAUUCUCAAACUUUAAAUGGGUGAGAACCCCGGCUUGCUUAAUUGAAGCUCGGGGCAUUAAAACUUGCCCGUCAUUGGAGCCGGGCGGGGAAUGGGAGCCGCCUAGUGGGCCACUUUUGGUAAGCAGAACUGGCGCUGCGGGAUGAACCGAACGCCGGGUUAAGGCGCCCGAUGCCGACGCUCAUCAGACCCCAGAAAAGGUGUUGGUCGAUAUAGACAGCAGGACGGUGGCCAUGGAAGUCGGGAUUCCGCUAAGGAGUGUGUAACAAACUCACCUGCCGAAUCAACUAGCCCUGAAAUGGAUGGCGCUCUGGAGCGUGGGGCCCAUCCCGCUGGCCACGGAGAGCCUCGAGGGCUAUGCCGCGACGAGUAGGAGGGCCGCCGCGGUGAGCACGGAAGCCUAGGGCGCGGGCCCGGGUGGAGCCGCCGCGGGUGCGGUAGUAGCGGGUGCAGAUCUUGGUGGGAAGUAGCAAAUUAUUCCAACCGAGAGCUUUGGAAGGCCGAAGUGGAGAAGGGGUCCCAUGUGAACAGCAGUUGAACUGGGGUCAGUCGGUCAAAGAGAGGGGCGAACGCCGUGGGGAGGGGAGGGGCGAUGGCCUCCGUCGCCCCGGCCGAUCGAAAGGGAGUCGGGUUCAGAUCCCCCGAAUCCCCGAAUCCGGAGGGGGGAUGGGGGCCGCGAGGGGUCCAGAGGGGUAACGCGACCGAUCCCGGAGAAGCUGAGAACUGCGGGGAGCCCCGGGGAGAGNNNNNNNNUGUAAGGGAAGUCGGCCAAGUCAGAUCCGUGUAACUUCGGGUAAGGAUUGGCUCUAGGGGCUGGGUCGCGGUGUCGGGCUGGGGUGCGAAGCGGGGCUGGGCUCGAACCGCGGCUGGGGGAGCAGUCCCUCCGUCACCCUCCUCUCACCACCAUUUCAUUGUGGCCCAUCUCGCGGUUUCUUGUGCGUAGUCUCGCAAGGGUCUGCGUGCGGGGAUUCGUUGGGGUGGUGUCCGUCGGGUGCGAGGCGGGGCUGGCCCCGAGCCGCGGCUGGGGGGGCCAGUUGCUCCGCCGCCCCUCCUCUCGCCCACCGUUGGAAGUUUGUCGUGCGGCCCAUCUCGGGGGUCUCGUUCGUGGUCUCGCAAGGGGCUGCGUGUGGGGGUUUAUCGGGGUGGGGUCCGCCGGUGGGCCGAAACGGAACCGGUGAGGGGUUGGGUCCGGCGGUUGGCAGCGGGGACUCUGGACGCGGGACGGGCCCUUUUCGCGGAUCUCCCCAGCUACGGUCUCGUCGGCCCCUUAACGCGGGGUCUCCGCGGGUUGCUCGGCCGGCGCCUAGGCGCUGACUUAGAACUGGUGGCGGACCAGGGGAAUCCGACUGUUUAAUUUAAAACAAAGCAUCGCGAAGGCCCAAGGUGGGUGUUGACGCGCGAUGUGAGAUUUUGCCCCAGUGCUCUGAUGUCAAAGUGAAGAAAUUCAAUGAAGCGCGGGUGAAAUUCAAUGAAGCGCGGGUUAAACGGCGGGAGUAACUAUGACUCUCUUAAGGUAGCCAAUGCCUCGUCAUCUAAUUAGUGACGCGAUGAAUGAUGAAGAGAUCCCACUGUUCCCUAUCUACUAUCUAGCGAAACCACUGCCAAGGGAACGGGCUUGGCGGAACAGCGGGGAAAGGAGACCCUGUUGAGCUUGAGAUCUAGUCUGGCACUGUGAAGAGAACAUGAGAGGUGUAGAAUAAGUUGGGAGGCCCCGGCCGCCGGUGAAAAUACCACUACUCUUAUCGUUUUUUCAUUUACCCGGUGAGGCCGGGGAGCCGAGCCCCGAGCGGGCUCUCGCUUCUGGCUUCGAGGGCGGGGGGGAGCGGGCUCUCGCUAUUGCCUCAAGCACCCGGCUCGCGUCGGGUGCGUCGCACCCGCUCGCUUCGGGGGCGCGCCCGCUCCGGGGCAGAGGGGGGGNNNNNNAGGUGUCCUAAGGGCGACUCAGGGAGGACAAGAAACCCUCCCGUGGAGCAGAAGGGCAAAACUCGCUUGAUCUUGAUUUUCAGUAAUGAAUACAGACCGUGAAAGCGGGGGCCUCACCGAUCCUUCUGACUUUUUGGGUUUUAACAGGAGGUGGUCAGAAAAGUUACCACAGGGAUUCUGCUUCAAAAUGAAAGAAAGAGCCGACAUAAGAAUCCAAAAGACAUCGAAGAAUAAAAAGGCGCCGU
rnacentral:rRNA from 1 species